CGACUUGCAGUUGCUAGCAUGAAUUUGCGCGUUCUCGUUUUUGCUGUACGAGAGGAACGUCCGGUUAAAGAUGACUGACCUCCUGGCUUCCGGGCGCUUCUGCUGUACGAGGGAAACAUCCGGUUCGUCUUUACAGUACCCAGUCAUGAAAGGCCAGUCCCUUCAAGCCCUGACCUGCCAUUGAUGCUACUGGGCCUAGCUGCCAAGAAUUGACAGAGCCUAGACUCGACAACUCCAUCCCCCUCACUGAGCCAGGGGUAACAGUCAAGGUAGCAGGU